GAAAUAACAGAAAAGAUAUUUAUUGGCCAGGAAGUUGGUGCUGCUAAGACCGAGAAAUUUAAAGAAUCGGACAGAUGGACGCAGAGAACCAGAGGGCAAUGUGGGACCUUCUCUUGCCAUGGCCUCAGGUCUUGAGGGAAGGCUCGGGCCUAGGUUUCUGGACUGCAAAGGGGACCCCCAGGUGGGAGGGGCAGGAAGCAGCCGGAGUGAGCCCUUCGCCCCUGAGUGCCUGGCUCGCACCUCUCGAGCUGUGCCCUGGGCAUCACUGAGCAGAGGGGUGCGGCAGCUUCAGGAGGCAGAAACGAGAGGGGUGGGAGAUCCACAGGACCAAAGGGUGCAGUGAUGGGCUGGGUGGCGGGCCCAGGGAAAUGGGGUGGGGAUGGGCUGGGUAAGACCUGGCCCUCCCCUGCUGCCCUGAAGACCACCCCAGUCUACCUCGGUGCUGGCCAGGAAACCUUUCGGCUACCUCUCCCACCAUCCCAGACUGUGGGCAGGGGGAUGGGGAGGGAGUGGGCCUGGAUCUGGGACCUCCCUCCAGAAUUUCCUCCAGAUGGGGGCAGUGCCCAGGGAGGGGUUAUUUGUCUUCCCUGCCAUGGAGUGGGAAUCCCCAGCCGAGGCCCUAGGCCCCUCAGCAGGGAAGGGAUCCCCGGGGAGGCAGGUCCCAGGAGCAGACCCUGCCCCCAGCCCCCACAGACACACCCCAAUCUGAAAGCCAUGCGUGUCGGUGUAUAUAGGAACCAUGUACAGAGCCCAGAGAAGCCCCCUACAUCCCCCCGGGAAAAAAAAGAAAACUAGACAGAAACUCAUCUAUAUAUUCUGUAUCUGGAGUUCCGUUUUGAAUAUUAACUGUGUUAUUUUUAUACACUUUUUAAGCCUUAACUCGCCAUUGAUUUACCAGUUUAACGUUUCCUGGGGUUUCUUUGCCCAUGGGGUUCUCUGCCCCCACCCCCGGCCCUUUGUUUGACUUGCGUCGUCUGAUACUCAGUAUUGUAGCUUUUUGUCCGCAUGUUACUCCCUGUAAAUACGCUGUUAUACAUACUGUUAACACCCCUUUGCUUUUUCUAUGGGACCUCCAGGCCACCAUAUUUAGAACUAGUUACCUUAUUAAAAAAGAAAAAACAGUCUGUUGGCUUCUCAGUCUGCAUCUUGGAGGCAGGGAGGUGAGGGCAGGUGCCCCUCAGACACUUCAGGAAGGUAGUUUGCAUUCUAUUUAAAAAAGGGAGUGGGGAGCAAAUGAAAAUCAAAUGUGGGGGGAAAACACUAAAGGGGGCAAGAAACAAAGGAAUUACAAACCCUCUGCUCUUUGUAUUUCUCUGUUGUGAAGAAUAAACUGUACCUGCACCCGG
rnacentral:lncRNA from 1 species